AUUGAACGCUGGCGGCAGGCCUAACACAUGCAAGUCGAGCGGAUGAAGGGAGCUUGCUCCUGGAUUCAGCGGCGGACGGGUGAGUAAUGCCUAGGAAUCUGCCUGGUAGUGGGGGAUAACGUCCGGAAACGGGCGCUAAUACCGCAUACGUCCUGCGGGAGAAAGUGGGGGAUCUUCGGACCUCACGCUAUCAGAUGAGCCUAGGUCGGAUUAGCUAGUUGGUGGGGUAAGGCCUACCAAGGCGACGAUCCGUAACUGGUCUGAGAGGAUGAUCAGUCACACUGGAACUGAGACACGGUCCAGACUCCUACGGGAGGCAGCAGUGGGGAAUAGUGGACAAUGGGCGAAAGCCUGAUCCAGCCAUGCCGCGUGUGUGAAGAAGGUCUUCGGAUUGUAAAGCACUUUAAGUUGGGAGGAAGGGCAGUAAGUUAAUACCUUGCUGUUUUGACGUUACCAACAGAAUAAGCACCGGCUAACUUCGUG
rnacentral:rRNA from 1 species